AGGGAAUAUUGCACAAUGGACGGAAGUCUGAUGCAGCGACGCCGCGUGGACGAAGAAGGCCUUCGGGUUGUAAAGUCCUUUUCAGGGGGAAGAGAGAGGACGGUACCCUUGGAAUAAGCGUCGGCUAACUACGUGCCAGCAGCCGCGGUAAGACGUAGGACGCGAGCGUUAUCCGGAUUUACUGGGCGUAAAGCGUCUGUAGGCGGGACGGUAAGUUGGGCGUGAAAGCUUCGGGCUUAACCCGGAGAGGACGUACAAGACUGCUGAACUAGAGGCCACCAGAGGGGCGUGGAAUUUCCGGUGUAGCGGUAAAAUGCGCAGAUAUCGGAAGGAACACCAGUGGCGAAGGCGGCGCCCUGGGGUGGGCCUGACGCUAAGAGACGAAAGCUAGGGGAGCGAACAG
rnacentral:rRNA from 1 species